CUGAUACUUAUGCUGUGAAAAGUUGGCAGCACUGAUGACCUUGAGCGGUGAUCUACCUUCCUACCAAGUCUCUAUUCAUGUGUUAGUCUAUCAGUUGUUGCCUUAGAGCGAGUUUGUGACGUCUGACAAUCAAUUAUUUCUAGUGGUGCAUUCUUGGAGCACAGGUGUGCUCCACACGACUACUGCAUUCACAGUUUUUAACUUUUAACUCGGAUUUAUUUAUAUAAUAGUUGCUUCUAUCAGUUUAUUGAUGUGUGGGAUCUUCAUUUCACAGAUGAGGAGAAAGCAUUAGUGAAAGAGUAUUUGGGAGCUGAUAGAAAGACAAAAUUGCAAAUAGAAGCUAAAAAUGGAAAAAAACUGGUAAGAUUGGUCAACACAUCACUGAAUGAAAAAUGGCUUGUAGGAAACAGUAAAAGAUGUCCCAAAUGUAGGGUGUCCAUUGAGAUGAGGAGAAAGCAUUAGUGAAAGAGUAUUUGGGAGCUGAUAGAAAGACAAAAUUGCAAAUAGAAGCUAAAAAUGGAAAAAAACUGGUAAGAUUGGUCAACACAUCACUGAAUGAAAAAUGGCUUGUAGGAAACAGUAAAAGAUGUCCCAAAUGUAGGGUGUCCAUUGAGAUGAGGAGAAAGCAUUAGUGAAAGAGUAUUUGGGAGCUGAUAGAAAGACAAAAUUGCAAAUAGAAGCUAAAAAUGGAAAAAAACUGGUAAGAUUGGUCAACACAUCACUGAAUGAAAAAUGGCUUGUAGGAAACAGUAAAAGAUGUC